rnacentral:ribozyme from 1 species
UGAUGCGGAGAUCCCGUGGAGAGACGAGAUCGACUACGAGGUGCUAGAGAUUGCAGACGUGGGCAAACCCUUUGUCGAAGCCUCUUUCUUCCA